rnacentral:rRNA from 1 species
GACGUAGGGUCCGAGCGUUAUCCGGAAUCACUGGGCGUAAAGGGUGCGUAGGUGGCUCGUUAUGUCCUUGGUUAAAGCCUUCGGCUCAACCGAAGAUCUGCCAAGGAAACUGACGAGCUUUUGAGGCCAGCAGGGGCAAGCGGAAUUCCCGGUGUAGGGGUGAAAUCCGUUGAUAUCGGGAAGAACACCAGUGGCGAAGGCGGCUUGCUAGGUUGGAUCUGACACUGAGGCACGAAAGCGUGGGGAGCGAAACGG